rnacentral:lncRNA from 1 species
UUUGAUAGCUUAGGUGCAUGAAAUGCAUUUUCAGCUUAUAGUAUUUUCAGGUUAUGAUGGGUUUAUCAGAAUGUAAUCCCAGGGGAGGAGAGGGAAAAUCUGUACCUGGAACAUGCAAGCCACUUUGGGCACAUGAUGGCAAACUGAUGUGGUUCUAGCUUAGCCAAGAUUGAUUCUUCUCCAUGAAUCUGCAGAACUAUACGUGACAGCUCUGCUUUCAGUUUGUGGCUGACCUUUGGGUGGUUGAUAGGGACCUCAGGCCACAGUCCUGGGAGGAUCUAGAGAGGUCUAUAUUCCUCCUGGUCUUCUGAGGAUUGGUGGUUGUACAUGUGGAGUUCCGUGACCUUCAUGCUAUUAAUCUUGUUCUUUAAACUUCCAUCCUUAGCCCGGGUCAGACUCGAUCACCUAUGGUCCAGUGGCUUAACCCACAGUCUCCAACUGAACCAGGCUCCACCCCAGCUGCUGCAUUUCCUUCGCCCAGUUCCUUACCUUUCCCCACCUCUCCUGCUGCCACCAUAGCAGACAAGCCCCUGGAAAGCAUUAUCAGUCGGAAGGCUCGAGCAGUGUACCCGUGUGAAGCAGAACACAGCUCGGAAUUAUCUUUUGAAAUAGGAGCAAUUUUUGAGGAUGGUAAGUGGGGGUGGGCGAUACCCUGUCACCUCGGAGUCACUGAUUGUGGCUGCGUGACGCCCUGGACCAGGGAGAGCUGGGGUGCGUGGCUUCCAGAUCCCGAUCGCCAGGGGGCUCUGUGCUGGCGGCGGAGCAUCCUUCUGCCGUCGUGAUGAUGCCUCUCCAUUCACGUCAUUUCUCCAUUUCUCCUGAUGGAAAUGAGCUGGUACCAAUCGGAGUUGGGAAAUCUCUCUGAUCUCCCUCCUUUGUGUUCUUGGUUCUCCCAGAAUCCCUGACCCAGCCUCCUAAAUGCUUCAGGUUUGCUGAGUUGGUAUUUUAGUUUCUAAUCUCCUUAUCAUUCCUUCGCUUAACAUUUUUCCCAUCCUGAAAGAAUACCGCAUCUCCAGAUUGAAACAGCAGUGGGAAAGUUAUUUGAAUGUUUAACAUUCAUAUACAAGAAUUUAGAAGCUAUGACUGGCUUAAUAUUUCACAGAUUUCUCCUCGGGUUCAGUGUAUGUAUUUUUCCCCCUUGUUCUUCUCUUCUUCCCUCCCUCGUCUGCUCAUUAUGAAAUUCAUUGGUUGCUGUGGAAACAGGGAUGUCGUGUGUGGGUGGAGCUCCCCAGCAGAGUUCCAGGGAAGCUGCAGGAACUGUGGAUGCGUGGACUGGAAUGGCUGAUGAGCCAGAAUGUUUGGAGUCUGUGGAAUAUAUCACCACAGUGCAUUGUCGUGUGUUGUCAGUAAUGCAGCGUUUGCUGACGGUUGUUUUUUAGAAAGCAAGUUGUCUCGUUCAGAAUAGAUUACAGUAUGUGCUCCUGUGAGCCAGAGACUCCUGGUAGCAUCCGAAAACAAACAACAGCACCAAUACCCCAUGUAAGACAGAAUUACACUUUGUGAAGAAACUUUGUUCUUGGAGUAGAAACAGGCUCUCUCCUCUGCAGCCGUAACAUGCACAGGUGCAGUUUUUCCAGGAGAGUGUGGUCACAAAGCCACCCCACGCCACACCUGGCUCAUGGUGCCACAGCAGAUGGCCGAAGGGGGAGCUCGGGUGGUGGUAGUGCAGCUCACCCAUUCAAAGACUGGGGUGGAAUUUUUACUUCUUGUGAUGUCUGCUUAGGAA